GAGAAGGAAGCAGCGUAGGUUAGGUGUUGCAGUAGCGGAACACGUCACCUCUGCCAACCAUUUUUUUGGAUUUUGGAGAACGUGAGCGCGAAGAUCGGGCACUCGCUCCGAUUCCCUUCCAUUUCACCGUUUCAAGCAAAGCGCUAACCAUUUCUCGCACACUUUCAUUUUCAGUCCCAGGUUCAGUUUGUAAAUGGCUAAAGAUGGUAAGGUGCGGUGCAAGUCCCGGUGUCAAGGUCACACGACAACCCCAUGUCUUUUAACUUGUGCAAGAAAAAAUCUGAAAGAUGUUAAUGUAAAGAAGAGGUUUUCUAAAGCAUCAGAAAAGAAAGAUUGGGAAGAUGCAACCUGCUCAGUGUGCAUGGAGGUCCCUCAUAAUGCUAUCCUUCUCCUUUGUUCAUCCUAUGACAAGGGUUGUCGCCCUUACAUGUGUGCUACUAGUCAUCGCUAUUCAAACUGUUUUGAACAGUACAAAAAGGCAUACACAAAAGCAACUUCUGUUCAAAGUUUUCGGCUUGAAACAGACAAUUCAAAUUUUGAUUUAAGCACAGGUGACCCUAAUGACAAUACAGAAGUUCCUGAGCUUCUUUGCCCCCUUUGUCGCCGGCAGGUGAAAGGUUGGACAGUAGUUGAAGCAGCACGGAAGUCUUUGAAUGCCAAGAAAAGAAGCUGCAUGCAAGAUGAUUGCUCCUUUGUAGGGAAUUACAAGGAACUUAGGAAGCAUGUCAGGUCUAAGCAUCCAUUCUCACGACCACGAGAGGUGGACCCAAUAAGAGAAGAAAAAUGGAAGAGACUUGAGUGUGAAAGAGAACGGAAUGAUGUGAUUAGCACAAUUUUAUCUUCGACACCAGGGGCUAUGGUACUUGGGGAUUACGUACUGGAGCCAAAUGAACAUACCUUUUAUAGUGACGAAUAUGAUUCUGAUGAGGAAUAUCUGGAGGAUGAUUUCUUCUCAGUGAGGUCCUUCGGUUUGGGGAGAACUGGCCAUUUUUUGUCACACAUUAGGUAUAAUCAGGACCGUGCUGCUGAUUCUUUUGCCAUUGAUCGUUUUGGUUUGCAGAGUGUUGCACCUACAGGUUCUGCUGCUGUCUCUGGACGUGGACUGCACAGGCUACUGUUAGGAAGGUCUAGAAGACGACGGAGGCAUAGGAUAGCAAAUGCAAGAAGGUAAAAUCAAAGACAAACUAUAGAAAUGUGGGGGAAAAGCUGCACUUCUGCAAAUAGUAUGCCAUUGAUCUUGGCAUGGCUAGUUUUGUUGCUAUGCCAGAGCAAUUUAUAAUUUAAUUGGCAGAGUAUGGCAGUUGACCCCUUUUCUAGUUGUGUACCAUCUCAUCUAUAGAUUGAUGUGGUUUAGGAGAUCCAGGUCAUUAUGACUGUUAGAUCCCAUAGGUUGGACUGGUUUCAUUCGGUCAUGCAAAGUGGUGAAUUGGACAGGGGAUUAGG